rnacentral:rRNA from 1 species
AAUGAACGCUGGCGGCGUGCCUAAUACAUGCGAGUCGAGCGAACAGACGAGGAGCUUGCUCCUCUGACGUUAGCGGCGGACGGGUGAGUAACACGUGGAUAACCUACCUAUAAGACUGGGAUAACUUCGGGAAACCGGAGCUAAUACCGGAUAAUAUAUUGAACCGCAUGGUUCAAUAGUGAAAGACGGUUUUGCUGUCACUUAUAGAUGGAUCCGCGCCGCAUUAGCUAGUUGGUAAGGUAACGGCUUACCAAGGCAACGAUGCGUAGCCGACCUGAGAGGGUGAUCGGCCACACUGGAACUGAGACGCGGUCCAGACUCCUACGGGAGGCAGCAGUAGGGAAUCUUCCGCAAUGGGCGAAAGCCUGACGGAGCAACGCCGCGUGAGUGAUGAAGGUCUUCGGAUCGUAAAACUCUGUUAUUAGGGAAGAACAAAUGUGUAAGUAACUAUGCACGUCUUGACGGUACCUAAUCAGAAAGCCACGGCUAACUACGUG